ensembl:lncRNA
GAAAACCCGGAAGCACACGCUGUCACAUUUGGGCAGUUCAUGCUCCGGCACUCAGCACAAGGGGAAAUCUGAGUCCCCCCAAGAACAAUACACUCCUCCCCCCGGUGGUCCUGGCCCUCUGGACAAAAUGUCUACACAGACCUCCUAAUCUCCAAGCAGGCAUUUGUCUUAGUAAUGGGGUAUACAGGUAUACAGGAAUGCAGGUGGUGAGUCGGCGACAGGCUCGCUGGGGUCAGAUGGCUAGGCUGGGACAUGUUUCCUGUAGUUCUUAGGCAGGACCCAGGCUUGGGAAGCUGUGUCAUCAGCCUCAGGCAUGAACAGAGCUUGGUAGACUGUCUCGUUGGCCUCAGGAGUGAGCAAAGCUUUGUGGGCUGUGUCGUUGGCCUUAGGAAUGAGCAGAGCUUGAUGGGCAGUGUUGUUGGCCUCAGGCGUGAGCAGAGUUUGGUUGGCCAUGUCGUCGGCCUAUGGCAUGAUCAGAACUUGGUUGGCCGUGUUGUCGGCCUCAGGCAGGAACAUGGCACAGGAGGCAGUCCCGUCGGCCUCUGGCAGGAACAUGGCUUGGGAGGCUGUGCCGUCAACCUCUAACUGGAAUUGAACCUGGGAGGUUGCCUUCUUCACUUCUAACAGGAUCAUGGCUGGAUAGACCACAUCAUCAAUCUCACACUGGGGCUCAGGAGAUGAGGUCAACCCGUUGACCUCUGGCUGGAGCUCUGCAGGGGAGACCACCUCAUGGGUCUCAGGCUGGAGCUCUGUAGAUGGGGUCACCACGUUGACCUCUGGCUCGAGCUCUGCAGGGGAGACCACUUUGUGAGUCUCAGGCUGGAGCUCUGGAGAUGAGGUGGCAACAUUGACCUCUGGCAGGAGCUCUGUAGGAGAUACCACCUCAUGGGUCUCAGGCUGGAGCUCUGGAGUUGUGCAGGCCACAAUGUUCGCCUGGGACAGGAACUGGGCUGUGGAGGCCACCCUGUCAGCAUGGGACUGGAGCUGGGCUGUGGAGGCUGUCCUGUUGGCCUGCUCAUGGUAGGUGGUGAACGGCAGUAGGUGGGGAAUGCAGGUUCGUUCGUCAGGCUCACCCUCCCCCCAAAAUUCUCUAAAUUAAAUUAAAUUAAAUUAGUCUGCCUUCCCAUAGAUAACGAGGGAUAUAAUCCCCACUACACUCCCUAGGCCUAUGGUGAGCCAGACCGACAAUCCGGGAUAACAUGAAUACUAUAUACUGUCUCUCCUUGGGCUUGGGGUUCACCAGGAUCUCAAAAUAAAAUUAGCACUAGCGGAAAAAUACCUUCAGAUGGCUUUCAAUGCCCCUGAAGGGAGCCGGAACAUCCAGGUUAAGCCACUAUUGAAAUCGCACAGAAUCAAAUGCUGGCAUAAAGAUCCUGGUAAAGUAUUCUGUCAUGUAAUGGGGAUUGAAGAUGGAUGUAAGUGCAGUUAAAGCUUUUAAUGAAGAGGCAGGGAGACAAAUCCAAAACAUAAGGCGAUACCACGGUCAGAAAACAGACGAGGGGGUCAGGCAAAUGGCAAACAACAUAAACUAGGCUUAGAUGAGAAUCAAGAAAGGUGAGAACAAAACAGGAUCAACACCAUGAAACGCGGAACAAGGAUCAAAAUGCUCGGUACAGGUCUGGCAAUAACACAUAGAAACACACAAUACUUCACAUGGUACAAAGUCACACAAGGGUUUAAAUAUACAAAUGAAUCAAAGAAGGAAACGAGAACAGCUGAGACAUUAGGAAGGAACCAAUUACAUAACCGGGCAGAGACAGGAAUGUCUCUGUCAUUCCUGCCUGAACUGCUGUCGCGCUUCAGGCAGUUCAUGCGCGCUGAAUGGAAAUCCGUGACAGAUACUCCUGCCCUGUGGAGGUUGUUGGAUGUCACUGACUGUUGUUUUGGGGGUUUUUUUCACAGCUCUUACAAUGUUUCUGUCAUCAGCUGUUAUUGUUUUCCUUGGCUGACCCAUUCAGUGCCUGUUGCUCAGUACACAAGUGUUUUUUUUUUCUUUUUCAGGACAUUCAAAAUUGUUGUAUUGGCUAUGCCCAAAGUUUGUGCAAUGCCUCUGAUUGAUUGUCCCUCUUUUUUCAGUUUCAAAAUGGCUUGCUUUUCUCCCACAGACAUCUCUCUGAUUGUCAUGUUGGCUUAUCCUUUUAAACAACAAAUGCCGUCUUCACAGGUGAAAAUAAAUGUUAAAUCCAAGAAUAGAUGUUCAGCGCUAUUUAUUGUUUUAAACAGUCAAUCUAACAGGACACGCCUGGGUAACAAGAAACGUCGGGGUUACGCAUGUAACCCUGUUCCCUGAGAAGGGAAUGAGACGUUGCAUUUAGCAAAACAGUAUGGGAACGCCUUGCGCACGUGACCGGUAUCGGAAGCUUGUGUAAAAUCACGCCUCUACUUAUAGGCCUGCCAUGAUCAGGUGACGUAGCAAUUAAGUGCGUCGCAUGAUAUAUAUAUGGCACCUGUGUACCACGCCGCCAGCCUCUAUUAUCUGAAGCGAAGACGAAAUUCACAGGCCUGCCCUGGUAUGACAGUGCUAUGCAACGUCUCGUUCCCUUCUCAGGGAACAGGGUUACAUGCGUAACCCCGACGUUCCCUUUCAAAGGGAACUUCGACAUUGCAUUUAUCAUAACAGUAUGGGAAUACCCCCUCCGUCAUACCGAGGGUAUGACCUGUUCAAAAAUACCCAAGCCCGAGGGUCAAGACACUGGACUGGAAUGAAUAUCCAGGCUGUAAUAAUGAAUGACUGUGUGUAGUGUAGACCCUGCAGGCGCACACACAAAGCCUUCAAGGAGGCGACCGCCCUAGUGGAAUGAGCUCUUAUGCCCAGAGGCGUGGCGAGACCGCAUGUCGUAAGCCCUAGAGAUUGCUUCCACUAUCCAAGUAGAGAUGCGCUGCUUUGACACAGCAUCACUUUUCCUGUCGCUGCCAAAGCAGACCAGUAGCUGCUCCGACUUACGCCACUGGCCGGAGCGGUGGACGUAAGUACAGAGAGCCCUUACUGGACACAACAGGUGCAUCCUCUCUUGUUCCGGUGUGAGGAACAGAGGAGGGCAGAAAGCCUGCAAUACCACAGGGUGGGCAGCCGAUGUAGGCACUUUAGGAAUAUAAUCCGGCCUAGGAUACAGGAAGGCCUUGGCUAACCCAGGGGUAAUGUCAAGGCAGGAAGGGGCAACAGAGAGAGCUUGUAGACCUCCCACUCACUUGAGAGAUGUCAGGGCCAGUAAAAGAGCUAACUUUUUAAUGUCAGGAGCUUCUCAGAGGCUGACUCUUAAGGGCUCAAAUGGGGCCCCUGACAGACCUUCCAAGACCACAGCAAAGUCCCAGGAAGGUAUGCAUGGCCUGCAGAUGGGCCUCAGCCAUCUGACACCACGCAUGAACCUCAGGGUUCUUCAAAUCUGCAUAGUUUAGCUCCAACCUCAAAACUUACCUGCCUGUAAUUUCCUAGUAAUCCUGAACACCUUGGUUAGCUUGUUCAGGUGUGUUUGUUUAGGGUUGGAGCUAAACUCUGCAAGACAGUGAACCUUGAGGGCCAGAUUUGAAGAACCCUGAUCUAUCAUGUUUGUACAGGUGUACAGUUGGUAUGCUUUGAUGGAAUGCACAAUUUAGGGUCACUUUAAGAUCAACUGAUCCUCUGUUUAUCCUAUAUCAUCAUAGGAAACAUCAGCAUAAUAUACAUUACUUAUGGGCAUUUAAGAUAGCAUCUAUUGAAUGGUUAGGUCAAACUGAGACUUUACAGUUGAAUGGGUCUGCCUGUUUCUUUGAUCACAGUGAAGAGGAUCAAAGUGUAUGUAAACAAAGUGUAUCACCA